AAUUAAAAAUGUGCCAAAGGCACAAUAUAUUUCAUAUCUAUUUUUUUGAAAUUUUCUUUUUUUAAAAUACAACAUUCAAGAAAGAUGGGAGUACUUUUAGUUCACACGACAGCCGCUAGAUGGCAAACGGGAUCAUAUAUUCUUUCAAGUGAAACGAGCAUCUAAAUGUUUUAUAAUCCUAAGCAAAACACGAGAGAUUUGAUCCUUCUGUGAUUCAGAACGGGGUGUGAUGAUAUGGUUUUGCUCGUUCUGUUACGAGACGCCUGCGGCCACAAUCCUUGUUACGAUUAUAAGGCAGGCUAAACCGCUCUGAUCCCGCUUCUUUCAUCUCUAAGUUCAUAUUCAUUUUAGGCAAUAUACUUCAACAAUCUAUUAAAAGCUAAAGUUCAAGAAUAGAUUCUACACGAUAUCACAUAGCGCUAAAACAGCCCACGACGUUCGUUCCAUUUUAGAAAAAAAUUACAAUUGUACCUCCUCAAUAAGUAAAGAGGAAUAAUACAUUCCUUGCACAAAAUCUUAUCUCACCGUGUCAGAGGUUGACGUUGAUCUCCAAUUGUACAAAAACUCAUACAAGAACCAAAGGUGUCCGCGCGCUGCCGCAGCCGGAAGGAGGGAGGAGUACCGAUGGAUGCGUAAGGAUCUGUCUCAUUUUCGAGGACUGAGACUCAUUAGGGUUGGACGACGGAAAUUUCCAGGGAAAGGCCAAGAAAAAUGCCAAGG